AUACGUAGGUGACAAGCGUUAUCCGGAUUUACUGGGCGUAAAGGGCGUGUAGGCGGUCUUGCAAGUCAGAAGUGAAAUUCCUGAGCUCAACUCGGGCGCUGCUUCUGAAACUGCAGGACUUGAGUGCUGGAGGGGAUAGCGGAAUUCCUAGUGGAGCGGUAAAAUGCGCAGAUAUUAGGAAGAACACCGGUGGCGAAGGCGGCUAUCUGGACAGUAACUGACGCUGACGCGCGAAAGCGUGGGGAGCAAAAGGGAUGAGAUACCCUGGUAGUCCACGCCGUAAACGAUAAAUACUAGGUGUAGGGGGUAUCGACUCCCUCUGUGCCGCAGUUAACACAAUAAGUAUUCCGCCUGGGGAGUACGGCCGCAAGGUUGAAACUCAAAUGAAUUGACGGGG
rnacentral:rRNA from 1 species